GCCUGCUGCAAAAUCCAAUCCCAUUAUAAAACAUUUCCCCAAAAUGGAAUGCUAAUUAAUCAAACCAUAGGUUAUAUUUGCUUGCUACCUUCUUCUUCUUCUCCCUCUUCUUCAGUAUCUUGACAUGGCAUUUCUUGAUGUAGUGCAUCAAAUGGUAUUUGGAGUGUCUGGAAUGCAAGUCUUUUUUGAUACCAGGUGUCUGGAAUGCAAGUCUUCUUUGAUACCAGGGUUCGAUUCCAGCCAGUCGUAGAUUUCGUUGGAUGUAACCACUUCUUCGUUAUCUAAGGUCUCCAACCACGAAUAAACCGGCCGCCAUUGAUCGGUUCGUUGAAACCGGUAACUCG
rnacentral:lncRNA from 1 species